GGUGUAGUGGUGUAGUGGUUAAAGCAUUGGACUAUGACUCUGGAAACCAGGGUUCGAAUCUCAGCACAGCCA